rnacentral:rRNA from 1 species
CUGAUUAUAUUAAAGAGCCGCAGUAUUCUGACUGUGCGAAGGUAGCAUAAUAAAUUGUCUUUUAAAUGGAGGCUUGAAUGAAAGGUUGGACAAAGUAUCAUCUGUUUCUUAAAUAUUUAUUGAAUUUGACUUUCAAGUGAAAAGGCUUGAAUAAAUUAAAAAGACGAUAAGACCCUAUAAAUCUUUACAAUAAACAUGUUCUAUAUUUUAAUUUAUAAGUGUAUAAAAUAUUAAAUUUGUAUUUGUUUCGCUGGGGCGGCGUGGAUAUAUUAAUAAACUGUCUAUGUGUUAAAUCCAAUAAUUAUUGAUUAGUGAGAUUGAUCCUUAAAUAGAUUAAAAGAUUAAGAUACUUUAGGGAUAACAGCGUUAUUUUUUUUGAGAGUUCUUAUCGAAGAAAAAGUUUGCGACCUCGAUGUUGAAUUAAAGUAUCUUUAUGGUGCAGCCGCUGUAAGAGAGAGUCUGUUCGACUUUUAAUACUUUACAUGAUCUGA